ensembl:lncRNA
GUUCUUGUAUGUUUGUCUGUUUAUGGAAACUAUUAUAAUCAUUUACUAUAUUGAAAAGAAUCUUUAAGUGCCUACGCUGCAGUUUUGGAUGGCUGGAGCCUGCACAUGUCCAUCAAACCACACACAUGCCAAUUUGGAUCUCAGCACUAAGUGACAAGAAGGCUGAGACAUCAUCUGGAAGCUCAUGCUUGUUUCUCGCUGGGCUGCUGCGGCGCCAGUCAAACAUAACUGCAGCAGCUCAAUAAAGCCUGACUCAGAGGAAUUGGAGCUGACCUUGCUGUUAGAGAGUGAACUCUCCGAGUGUAGCACUGACCCCAGAACAG